CCUACGGGGGGCUGCAGCAAGGAAUAUUGGGCAAUGGGGGCAACCCUGACCCAGCGACGCCGCGUGAGGGAUGAAGGCUUUCGGGUUGUAAACCUCUUUUCUCACUGACGAAGAUGACGGUAGGUGAGGAAGAAGCCCCGGCUAACUACGUGCCAGCAGCCGCGGUAAUACGUAGGGGGCGAGCGUUGUCCGGAAUUACUGGGCGUAAAGCGCGCGUAGGUGGUUUUCUAAGACCGAUGUGAAAUCUCCGCGCUUACCGUGGAGAGGUCGUUGGU
rnacentral:rRNA from 1 species